rfam:Syntrophomonas wolfei subsp. wolfei str. Goettingen, complete genome.
AAAUUGCAAAUAAAAUUACCGUAGACAGCCGGUGGCAAAAGCCUUAAAGAACAGUAGUUCACCUGCCGAGGGAUUGAUAUAAAAACUGUAUUUUUCAAUGCAGUAUAUUAACCUCUGCAGGUCAUCGGCAGAGGUUUUUUAAUGGAUUU